UUGCAACACCGAGGCCACAUCCGGUUGGCGAGGACACGUCACUGAUUAAAGUGAGGAAGAGAAGCUGUUCUAGCCCUCGUCUGCUACUUUUUUAAAAACAUUGAAAAUCAUGUCGAACUCUGUCGUGUCUGUUAUCUCCCGAUUCCUGGAGGAGUACACCACCACGACGCCCAAUAAGCUGAAAGUGGUGGACGCUUAUCUGCUGUACAUCCUGCUGACCGGAGCGAUGCAGUUUCUUUACUGUCUCCUCGUUGGUACCUUCCCAUUCAACAGCUUUCUGUCAGGCUUCAUCUCCUGCGUGGGCUCUUUUAUACUUGCAGUGUGUCUCCGUAUCCAGAUCAACCCUCAGAACAAAGGGGAUUUCUUGUCCAUUUCUCCAGAGAGGGCCUUUGCUGACUUCCUGUUCGCUCACACCGUCUUGCAUCUCGUUGUGAUGAACUUCAUCGGCUGAAAUAAAUGAGGAUUUAAUUCAGUGCCCCUUCCUGAAGGUCACAAAGGAAUCAUCAAAUCUCUCAAAGACGACAUAGUACAUCCGCUUUUCUGCAGCUGAUCUGGACAACAUCCCAGCGUCAACACUGCAUGAGAUGCAUUGUCUUAUAUUUGAUGCAGUACAAUUUUCUUAAUGGAAUGGAUAAUUUGUUAUGUUGACAUUUGUAAAGCAUUCCCUUUUUGCACGGACAGAAAUAAAACAAGUGUAAUGGUG